rnacentral:rRNA from 1 species
AUCAAGCUUAUCGAUACCGUCUGCGUCAAGAAAAGCCGCUAUUGUUUAUACCGUACCCGUACCGUAAACCGACACAGGUGGAUGAGGAGAGAAUCCUAAGGCCGGCGGAAGAAGCAUUGUCAAGGAACUCGGCAAAAUGGCCCCGUAACUUAGGGAUAAGGGGUGCCUGGGAAACCAGGCCGCAGAGAAUAGGCUCAAGCAACUGUUUAGCAAAAACACAGGUCUAUGCGAAACCGAAAGGUGAGGUAUAUGGGCUGACGCCUGCCCGGUGCUGGAAGGUUAAGAGGAGAGGUUAGCGGUAACGCGAAGCUUUGAAUUUAAGCCCCAGUAAACGGCGGCCGUAACUAUAACGGUCCUAAGGUAGCGAAAUUCCUUGUCGGGUAAGUUCCGACCCGCACGAAAGGCGUAAUGAUUUGAGCGCUGUCUCGACAAUGCAUCCGGUGAAAUUGAAGUACCAGUGAAGAUGCUGGUUACCUGCGCCAGGACGGAAAGACCCCAUGGAGCUUUACUCCAGUCUGGUACUGGGACUCGGUAUUGCAUGUACAGGAUAGGUGGGAGGCUAGGAGAUGGUAACGCCAGUUGCCAUGGAGCCGCUGUUGGGAUACCACCCUUGCAGUAUUGGGUUUCUAACCAGCCGCCGUGACCCGGCGGUGGGACAAUGCCAGACGGGGAGUUUGACUGGGGCGGUCGCCUCCGAAAGGGUAUCGGAGGCGCCCAAAGGUUCCCUCAGAAUGGACGGAAACCAUUCGAAGAGUGCAAAGGCAGAAGGGAGCUUGACUGCGACACCGACGGGUGGAGCAGGUACGAAAGUAGGGCUUAGUGAUCCGGUGGUAUUAAGUGGGAAUGCCAUCGCUCAACGGAUAAAAGCUACCCUGGGGAUAACAGGCUUAUCACUCCCAAGAGUUCACAUCGACGGAGUGGUUUGGCACCUCGAUGUCGGCUCAUCGCAUCCUGGGGCUGUAGUAGGUCCCAAGGGUUGGGCUGUUCGCCCAUUAAAGCGGUACGCGAGCUGGGUUCAGAACGUCGUGAGACAGUUCGGUCCCUAUCCGGCGUGGGCGUAGGAUAUCUGAGAGGAGCUGUCCUUAGUACGAGAGGACCGGGAUGGACGGGCCGCUGGUGCAUCGGUUAGACUGCCAAGUCUACGGCCGAGUAGCCAAGCCCGGAAGGGAUAAACGCUGAAGGCAUCUAAGCGUGAAGCCCCCCUUAAGAUGAGAUAUCCCAUUCGAAAGAAGUAAACCCCCUUGAAGACGACGAGGUAGAUAGGGCAGAGGUGGAAGUGCAGCAAUGCAUGGAGCUGACUGUUACUAAUCGGGUGAGGGCUUGACCA